UCUUGUAAUUGGAAUGAUGGGAAUCUAAACCCCUUCCAGAGUAUCAAUUGGAGGGCAAGUCUGGUGCCAGCAGCCGCGGUAAUUCCAGCUCCAAUAGCGUAUAUUAAACUUGUUGCAGUUAAAAAGCUCGUAGUUGAAUUUCUGCUGUUUCGUUGACUGCGCUUGGCGUUUGUCAUCGUUGCGGCUUGGUUGGGUUUCGAUUAUUCGUUUCCCGGCGUUUACUUUGAGAAAAUUAGAGUGCUUGAAGCAGGCUUUUGCCUUGAAUACUUUAGCAUGGAAUAACGGAGUAGGAC
rnacentral:rRNA from 1 species